rnacentral:rRNA from 1 species
AAGGGCACCACCAGGAGUGGAGCCUGCGGCUUAAUUUGACUCAACACGGGAAAACUCACCCGGCCCGGACACUGUAAGGAUUGACAGAUUGAGAGCUUUUUCUUGAUUUGGGGGUGGUGGGGCAUGGCCGUUCUUAGGUGGGGGAACGAUUUGGCUGGUUAUUCCGAUAACGAACCAAACUCCUGCCUGGUGAAUAGUUCGCCGACUGCAUUCGGUGUUCGUACCUUCUUACAGGGUACGGUGGCGUUUGGUCACAUGAGAUUGAGCGAAAACCAGUCUGUGAUGCCCUUAGAUGUUCUGAGAGGCCCGCGCGCUAAAGUGAAGGAAUCCGCGUGUGUUCUUCCUGAUCCGACAGGACCGGGUAACCCGGUGAAGCGCCCUCGUGCUAUGGAUUGGAAUUGGAAAUGCUCCCUAUGAACAAUGACUUCCCAGUAAAGACGAGUCAUAAGCUCGCGUUGAUUACGUCCCUGCCCUUUGUACACUCGGCCCGUCGCUACUACCGACUGGAUGGCUUAGUGA